UAAAAUAAUUAAGGGCACACAAAGGAUGCCUAGGUAGUAAGAGCCGAUGAAGGACGUGGUAAGCUGCGAUAAGCCUAGAUAAGUUGCAAUCGAACGUAAGAGUCUAGGAUUUCCGAAUGGAGCAAUCUAUUAAGAUGGAGUCUUAAUACGAAAGAGGGAACCGCGUGAACUGAAACAUCUAAGUAACGCGAGGAAAAGAAAGUAAAAACGAUACCCAAAGUAGCGGCGAGCGAAAUGGGUCAAGCCUAAACCUUAAAUAUGUCAAGGAUACAGCCGUUGUAUUUAAGGGGUUGAGGGACAAAGUAGUGAAGAACUGUAAGAUAUUCAAUAUAGUGUAUUGAUGAAUUAGAAUUGUAUGGAAAGAUAAACCGCAGAAGGUGAGAGUCCUGUAUAAGUAAAUCCUUACACAUAUAACUUUGCUCCCAAGUAACAUGGAACACGAGGAAUUCUGUGUGAAUCAGUGAGGACCAUAUCUCAUAAGGCUAAAUACUCUUACUAACCGAUAGCGCAUAGUACCGUGAGGGAAAGGUGAAAAGAACCCCUGGAGGGGAGUGAAAUAGAACCUGAAAUUGUGUGCUUACAAGCGGUCAGAGCCCAUUUGGGUGAUGGCGUGCCUUUUGGAGAAUGAUCCUGCGAGUUACGUUAAACGGCGAGGUUAAGUAUAACGGAGCCGAAGGGAAACCAAGUCUUAAUAGGGCGAUUUAGUCGUUUGGCGUAGACGCGAAACCUGGUGAUCUAAACCUGUCCAGGAUGAAGCUGUGGUAAGACACAGUGGAGGUCCUAACCCACCGCCGUUGAAAAGUUGGGGGAUGAGGUAGGUUUAGGGGUGAAAAGCCAAUCGAACCAGGAGAUAGCUCGUUCUCUCCGAAAUGCAUCUAGGUGCAGCCUUGAGUGUUCAAUUAUGGGGGUAGAGCACUGAAUGAUCUAGGGGGCAUAUUGCUUACUGAAAUCAAUCAAACUCCAAAUACCAUAAUUUAUAGCUCAGGAGUGAGACCAUGGGAGUUAACUUCCAUUGUCAAAAGGGAAACAACCCAGACCACCAGCUAAGGUCCCUAAUUAUAACUAAGUGGGAAAGGAGGUGGAGAUUCACAAACAACUAGGAGGUUGGCUUAGAAGCAGCCAUACCUUUAAAGAGUGCGUAAUAGCUCACUAGUCGAGAGUCUCUGCGCCGACAAUGUAACGGGGCUAAGUUAUAAACCGAAGCUGUGGAAUCCUUAUGGAUUGGUAGGAGAGCGUUCUGUAGGCUGUUGAAGAAGAAGGGUAACCAACUUUGGAGGUAUCAGAAGUGAGAAUGCAGGAAUAAGUAGCGAGAAAGGGGGCGAGAAUCCCCCUCGCCGGAAGACCAAGGUUUUCAGGGUAAAGCUUGUCUUCCCUGAGUAAGCCGGGACCUAAGCCCAGGCUAUAAUGCGUAGGCGAAUGGAAAACAGAUUAAUAUUUCUGUGCCAGUCAUUUAUUGUGAUGGAGGGACGCAGAAGGGUAUGCGCGCGGACGAUCGGUUGUGUCCGUAGAAGUAUGUAGGGUGACUUAGUAGGUAAAUCCAUUAAGUUAUAUCUGAGGUAUGAUAUACAGUCGUAAGAUGAAUGUACAAAUCCCACGCUGCCAAGAAAAACUUCUAACGUUAAUAUAUGACUGCCCGUACUGUAAACCGACACAGGUGGUCAGGAUGAGAAAUCUAAGGCGGACAGGCUAACUCUCGUUAAGGAACUCUGCAAAAUAACCUCGUAACUUCGGGAGAAGAGGAGCCCUUGUGUGUGAGUAUACACGCGAUACAAAGCGCACGAGGGUCGCAGUGAAGAGGCUCAAGCAACUGUUUAACAAAAACACAGGUCUAUGCUAAGCUGUAAGGCGAUGUAUAUGGGCUGACACCUGCCCAGUGCUGGAAGGUUAAGAGGAGGAGUGAGAGCUCCGAAUUGAAGCCCCAGUGAACGGCGGCCGUAACUAUAACGGUCCUAAGGUAGCGAAAUUCCUUGUCGGG
rnacentral:rRNA from 1 species